ACAGGCAAACGGGUGCGGAACACGUACACAACCUUCCUAUAAGUGGGGAAUAGCCCAGAGAAAUUUGGAUUAAUACCCCGUAACAUAACGAUGUGGCAUCACAUUGUUAUUAUAGCUUCGGCGCUUAUUGAUGGGUGUGCGGCUGAUUAGAUAGUUGGCGGGGUAACGGCCCACCAAGUCUACGAUCAGUAGCUGAUGUGAGAGCAUGAUCAGCCACACGGGCACUGAGACACGGGCCCGACUCCUACGGGAGGCAGCAGUAAGGAAUAUUGGUCAAUGGACGCAAGUCUGAACCAGCCAUGCCGCGUGAAGGAUUAAGGUCCUCUGGAUUGUAAACUUCUUUUAUCUGGGACGAAAAAAGGCUUUUCUAAGUCACUUGACGGUACCAGAUGAAUAAGCACCGGCUAACUCCGUGCCAGCAGCCGCGGUAAUACGGAGGGUGCAAGCGUUAUCCGGAUUCACUGGGUUUAAAGGGUGCGUAGGCGGGCAGGUAAGUCAGUGGUGAAAUCCUGGAGCUUAACUCCAGAACUGCCAUUGAUACUAUCUGUCUUGAAUAUUGUGGAGGUAAGCGGAAUAUGUCAUGUAGCGGUGAAAUGCUUAGAUAUGACAUAGAACACCUAUUGCGAAGGCAGCUUACUACGCAUAUAUUGACGCUGAGGCACGAAAGCGUGGGGAUCAAACAGGAUUAGAUACCCUGGUAGUCCACGCCCUAAACGAUGGAUACUCGACAUACGCG
rnacentral:rRNA from 1 species